rnacentral:rRNA from 1 species
GACGAACGCUGGCGGCGUGCUUAACACAUGCAAGUCGAACGAAGUGGCGAACGGGUGAGUAACGCGUAAUCAACUUGCCCUUCAGCGGGGGACAACAGUUGGAAACGACUGCUAAUACCGCAUACUGAAGGUGGGGAUUGCGUCUGUUUGGCUAGUUGGAGGGGUAACGGCCCACCAAGGCGAUGAUCAGUAGACGGUCUGGGAGGAGUAACGGCCACAAUGGGACUGGGACACGGCCCAGACUCCUACGGGAGGCAGCAGUGGGGGAUCUUCCGGAAUGGACGAAAGUCUGACGGAGCAACGCCGCGUGAGUGAUGACAGCCUUCGGGUUGUAAAGCUCUGUUAAUCGGGACGCGGUACCGGAAUAGAAAGCCACGGCUAACUACGUGCCAGCAGCCGCGGUAAUAC